GAUGAACGCUGGCGGCGUGCCUAAUACAUGCAAGUCGAGCGAACGGACGAGAAGCUUGCUUUUCUGAUGUUAGCGGCGGACGGGUGAGCAACACGUGGAUAACCUACCUAUAAGACUGGGAUAACUUCGGGAAACCGGAGCUAAUACCGGAUAAUAUUUUGAACCGCAUGGUUCAAAAGUGAAAGACGGUCUUGCUGUCACUUAUAGAUGGAUCCGCGCUGCAUUAGCUAGUUGGUAAGGUAACGGCUUACCAAGGCAACGAUGCAUAGCCGACCUGAGAGGGUGAUCGGCCACACUGGAACUGAGACACGGUCCAGACUCCUACGGGAGGCAGCAGUAGGGAAUCUUCCGCAAUGGGCGAAAGCCUGACGGAGCAACGCCGCGUGAGUGAUGAAGGUCUUCGGAUCGUAAAACUCUGUUAUUAGGGAAGAACAUAUGUGUAAGUAACUGUGCACAUCUUGACGGUACCUAAUCAGAAAGCCACGGCUAACUACGUGCCAGCAGCCGCGGUAAUACGUAGGUGGCAAGCGUUAUCCGGAAUUAUUGGGCGUAAAGCGCGCGUAUGCGGUUUUUUAAGUCUGAUGUGAAAGCCCACGGCUCACCCGUGGAGGGUCAUUGGAAACUGGAAAACUUGAGUGCAGAAGAGGAAAGUGGAAUUCCAUGUGUAGCGGUGAAAUGCGCAGAGAUGUGGAGGAACACCAGUGGCGAAGGCGACUUUCUGGUCUGUAACUGACGCUGAUGUGCGAAAGCGUGGGGAUCAAACAGGAUUAGAUACCCUGGUAGUCCACGCCGUAAACGAUAAGUGCUAAGUGUUAGGGGGUUUCCGCCCCUUAGUGCUGCAGCUAACGCAUUAAGCACUCCGCCUGGGGAGUACGACCGCAAGGUUGAAACUCAAAGGAAUUGACGGGGGCCCGCACAAGCGGUGGAGCAUGUGGUUUAAUUCGAAGCAACGCGAAGAACCUUACCAAAUCUUGACAUCCUUUGACAACUCUAGAGAUAGAGCCUUCCCCUUCGGGGGACAAAGUGACAGGUGGUGCAUGGUUGUCGUCAGCUCGUGUCGUGAGAUGUUGGGUUAAGUCCCGCAACGAGCGCAACCCUUAAGCUUAGUUGCCAUCAUUAAGUUGGGCACUCUAAGUUGACUGCCGGUGACAAACCGGAGGAAGGUGGGGAUGACGUCAAAUCAUCAUGCCCCUUAUGAUUUGGGCUACACACGUGCUACAAUGGACAAUACAAAGGGCAGCGAAACCGCGAGGUCAAGCAAAUCCCAUAAAGUUGUUCUCAGUUCGGAUUGUAGUCUGCAACUCGACUACAUGAAGCUGGAAUCGCUAGUAAUCGUAGAUCAGCAUGCUACGGUGAAUACGUUCCCGGGUCU
rnacentral:rRNA from 1 species